AGAGUUUGAUCCUGGCUCAGGAUGAACGCUGGCGGUAUGCCUAACACAUGCAAGUCGUACGAGAGUUUUUAACUCUAGUGGCGGACGGGUGAGUAACACGUGAGAAUUUACCUUUAGGAGGGGGAUAACAAUUGGAAACGAAUGUUAAUACCCCAUAUGCUUUUGAGUGAAAUGGAUUUAUAAUUAUCCGCCUAAAGAAAAGCUCGCGGCUGAUUAGCUUGUUGGUAAGGUAAGAGCUUACCAAGGCGACGAUCAGUAUCUGGUUUGAGAGGACGAUCAGACACACUGGAACUGAGACACGGUCCAGACUCCUACGGGAGGCAGCAGUGGGGAAUUUUCCGCAAUGGGCGAAAGCCUGACGGAGCAAUACCGCGUGAGGGAAGACUGCCUAUGGGUUGUAAACCUCUUUUUUCAGGGAGGAAUAAAAUGACGUGUACCUGAAGAAUAAGCAUCGGCUAACUCCGUGCCAGCAGCCGCGGUAAG
rnacentral:rRNA from 1 species